rnacentral:rRNA from 1 species
GACGAACGCUGGCGGCGUGCUUAACACAUGCAAGUCGAACGGAAAGGCCCUGCUUGCAGGGUGCUCGAGUGGCGAACGGGUGAGUAACACGUGGGUGAUCUGCCCCUUACUUUGGGAUAAGCCUGGGAAACUGGGUCUAAUACUGGAUAGGACCAUGCUGUAGGUGGUGUGGUGGAAAGAUUAGUUUCGGUAAGGGAUGAGCUCGCGGCCUAUCAGCUUGUUGGUGGGGUAAUGGCCUACCAAGGCGUCGACGGGUAGCCGGCCUGAGAGGGUGGACGGCCACAUUGGGACUGAGAUACGGCGCAGACUCCUACGGGAGGCAGCAGUGGGGAAUAUUGCACAGUGGGCGCAAGCCUGAUGCAGCGACGCCGCGUGGGGGAUGACGGCCUUCGGGUUGUAAACUCCUUUCAGCCAUGACGAAGCCCUUGUGGUGACGGUAGUGGUAGAAGAAGCACCGGCUAACUACGUG